UACGGGGGGGGCAAGCGUUGUUCGGAAUUACUGGGCGUAAAGCGCGCGCAGGCGGUCCCUUAAGUCUGAUGUGAAAGCCCACGGCUCAACCGUGGAGGGUCAUUGGAAACUGGGGGACUUGAGUACAGAAGAGAAGAGUGGAAUUCCACGUGUAGCGGUGAAAUGCGUAGAGAUGUGGAGGAACACCAGUGGCGAAGGCGACACUUUGGUCUGUAACUGACGCUGAGGCGCGAAAGCGUGGGGAGCAAACAGG
rnacentral:rRNA from 1 species